rnacentral:rRNA from 1 species
GACGAACGCUGGCGGCGCGCUUAACACAUGCAAGUCGAACGGAAAGGCCCUGCUUUUGUGGGGUGCUCGAGUGGCGAACGGGUGAGUAACACGUGAGUAACCUGCUCUCGACUUUGGGAUAACUUCAGGAAACUGGGGCUAAUACUGGAUAGGAGCUCCUGCUGCAUGGUGGGGGUUGGAAAGUUUCGGCGGCUGGGGAUGGACUCGCGGCUUAUCGGUUUGUUGGUGGGGUAGCGGCUUACCAAGGCUUUGACGGGUAGCCGGCCUGUGAGGGUGACCGGCCACAUUGGGACUGAGAUACAGCCCAUACUCCUACGGGAGGCAGCAGUGAGGAAGAUUGCACAAUGGGCGGAAGCCUGAUGCAGCAACGCCGCGUGCGUGAUGACGGCCGUCGUGUUGUAAACCGCUUUCUCCUGGGACGAAGCGUGAGUGACGGUAAUGGGUAAAGAAGCACCGGCUAACUACGUG